ensembl:lncRNA
UCAGAUAGCGGUGACCAACACUCUCAGGAGAGGGAAAGUCAUCUGAGGGGGGACCACAGAGUCUCGGGGGUCGUAGUGUGCUCCAAGGCUUCUACCCCAGACAGAACGCUGCUAGAGUUCACCUCUUGUCUGAUCCCAGAGGGAAAGUUAGAAUUUAGGCAGCAGGUGAGAGACCCGGAGGACAAGUAUUCCAAACAACCGUCGGCGACACAGGUCCUUCUGCCUGGGAAAACUUGCAGCCACAAAGACCUUCUGUGUGAAGCCCCCUCCUCAUACCCUGAUCAUAUCCUCAGUUAUAACACUAAAAGUAGCUCAGGGGUCCGAGAGGACACGGCCAACAUUCAGCCAACAAAAAGCACACAACACCAGUCACACGGGAGCAAACCCAGUGUAGAAGAUGCCAUGAACAACCUCAACAAAGGGUCCAACUCUGAGCCCAAAGCAGGGUCCGAGCCCAAAGCAAGGACCAACUCUGAGCCCAAAGCAGGGCCCAACUCUGAGCCCAAAGCAGGGUCCAACUCUGAGCCCAAACCCGAGAGGUCUAAGAACACAGACCCUCUCAGUCAGACAUUGGGUCAUUGUAAUAUCAGGUCUGACUUCCCUAAAGGCCUAAAGAGCCUGCAGGUGGAAAUAACACCAACACACCUCCCAGAUACACCUCCAUCUCCUCC